rnacentral:rRNA from 1 species
GAUGAACGCUGGCGGCGUGCCUAAUACAUGCAAGUCGAACGGGGAGUAGCAAUACUCUUAGUGGCGAACGGGUGAGUAACGCGUUGGUACCUGCCCCGAAGCGGGGGAUAACGGACCGAAAGGUCCGCUAAUACCCCAUGUGCUCGGUAACGAGUAAAGGUGAAAACCACUUUGGGAGGGGCAUGCGUCCCAUCAGCUAGUUGGUAAGGUAACGGCUUACCAAGGCGAUGACGGGUAGGGGACCUGAGAGAGGGGCCCCCCACAAUGGAACUGAAACACGGUCCAUACACCUACGGGUGGCAGCAGUAGGGAAUAUUGGUAAUGGGCGCAAGCCUGAACCAGCAACGCCGCGUGUGCGAUGACGGCCUUCGGGUUGUAAAGCACUUUUGACUGGGACGAGGAAGGACGGUACCGGUCGAAUCAGCCUCGGCUAACUACGUG